AUGGCCGCGGCCACCUCCCCUCCCAGGGCGGAGAGGAAGCGCUGGGGCGGCGGCCGCUUGCCGGGAGCCCGGCGGGGCAGCGCGGGCCUGGCCAAGAAGUGCCCCUUCUCGCUGGAGCUGGCCGAGGGCAGCCCCGCAGGCAGCGCGCUCUACGCGCCCAUCGCCCCGCCUGGCGCCCCGGGCCCCGCGCCCCCCGCCGCCGCCGCCGACCUCGGCCCGCGGCCGCCCGUGAGCCUGGACCCGCGCGUCUCCAUCUACAGCGCGCGCCGCCCGCUGCUCGCCCGCACUCACGUCCAGGGCCGCGUGUACAACUUCCUCGAGCGCCCCACCGGCUGGAAGUGCUUCGUCUACCACUUCGCAGUCUUCCUCAUUGUCCUGGUCUGCCUCAUCUUCAGCGUGCUGUCCACCAUCGAGCAGUAUGUUGCCCUGGCCACAGGGACCCUCUUCUGGAUGGAGAUCGUCCUGGUCGUGUUCUUCGGGACGGAGUAUGUGGUCCGCCUCUGGUCGGCUGGCUGCCGCAGCAAGUACGUGGGCAUCUGGGGCCGGCUGCGCUUUGCCCGGAAGCCCAUUUCCAUCAUUGACCUCAUCGUGGUGGUGGCCUCCAUGGUGGUCCUCUGCGUGGGCUCCAAAGGGCAGGUGUUUGCCACCUCGGCCAUCAGGGGCAUCCGCUUCCUGCAGAUCCUGCGGAUGCUGCACGUCGACCGCCAGGGGGGCACCUGGAGGCUGCUGGGCUCCGUGGUCUUCAUCCACCGCCAGGAGCUCAUCACCACCCUGUACAUCGGCUUCCUGGGCCUCAUCUUCUCAUCCUACUUCGUGUACCUGGCCGAGAAGGAUGCUGUCAACGAGUCGGGCCAGGUUGAGUUCGGCAGCUACGCGGAUGCCCUGUGGUGGGGAGUGGUCACGGUCACCACCAUCGGCUACGGGGACAAGGUGCCGCAGACGUGGGUGGGGAAGACCAUCGCCUCCUGCUUCUCCGUCUUCGCCAUCUCCUUCUUUGCGCUCCCGGCGGGGAUUCUCGGCUCCGGCUUCGCCCUGAAGGUCCAGCAGAAGCAGAGACAGAAGCACUUCAACAGGCAGAUCCCGGCGGCAGCCUCGCUCAUCCAGACAGCCUGGCGGUGCUACGCAGCGGAGAACCCAGAUUCCUCCACCUGGAAGAUCUAUGUCCGGAAGCCAUCCCGGAACCACGCCCUGCUGUCCCCCAGCCCCAAGCCCAAGAAGUCAGCCAUGGUAAAGAAGAAAAAGUUCAAACUGGACAAGGACAAUGGUGUGAGCCCAGGAGAGAAGGCACUUUCGGUCCCCCACAUCACCUGCGAGCCCGUGUUGGAGGACCGCAGGCCCGAACCCAUCUCGGUAGACGGCUACGACAGCGCUGGCUGCGAGAGCACCACCGGGCCACCAUCAAGGUCAUCCGGCGCAUGCAGUACUUCGUGGCCAAGAAGAAAUUCCAGCAAGCGCGGAAGCCCUACGACGUGCGAGACGUCAUCGAGCAGUACUCCCAGGGCCACCUCAACCUCAUGGUGCGCAUCAAGGAGCUGCAGAGGAGGUGGGCGCGCCGGGCCGGGGGCGAGGCGGGGCGUGGGCAUCGCGGGGCGGGGCGGGGAUGGCAGGGGGCGGGGCGUGGGCAGUGUGGGGCGGGGCGUGGAUGGCAGGGGCGGGGCGUGGGGGCUCGCUCCACCUGCACCCAAAUCUCGGGGUGCGGACACUUCAGAUCCGAGCUCACCCGCUGUUGAGCAGGCCCAGGUCAAGUCCCGGGAGAUACACGACAGGGGGAGACCCUACCGGUUGGGCGCUGAGCACCCCAACUCUUGGAAGCCGACGUGUUCUGGCUUCUGGUCCAUAGUCUGGAGAGCUUGUACUCCCGGAGGCCGCCUGCUCCUUAGGGGCCUGCGAGGGCUCAGACCAGCUGCACAUGGGCGGUGGGUUGGCCUGGGGACCGAGCUCUGUGAGGCACGGGUGUGGCUGGGAGACCACCCAUGUUGGCCACCCCGGCCGGGCAGGGACUCGGGCUGCCCCAGAUCACCCUGCCCCUGUCACUGACCUACAACAGGGAUGUGAGGCCCAUCCAGCCCAGCGACCUGGCCUUGUCCUGGAAGGGACCUCUUGCAGUCCUGCCUCUCUGGACACGUCCAGGCACCUGGCCUGGGGCAUUUAUGAAGCGGCCACAGGACACUGGGCAAUUCUGGGGUCCUGCUGUACCCAGGGAGGAUGACAAAGGGGACAGUCCAACCACUGCCCUUCACCUCUGAACCCCCCACCCAGGCUCCCCAUGGGAAUGUGGGCCUCUGGAAUCUGAGAGGCACCUGGCUGGUGUUGGGGUGGUGGCAGGGGGCGGCCCCCAGAAGGGGCGGGCAGCUUGUCUCGCUGGGGACGUUGGCCCAUCCGCCCACUGAUCGGGCAGAUGUCAGUGUGGUGCCCAGGGGCCGAGAAUGAGCUGGUCUCCAUCUCCCUCUCCCCACCCCCCACCCAGGCUGGACCAGUCCAUCGGGAAGCCCUCCCUCUUCAUCUCCGUCUCAG
rnacentral:lncRNA from 1 species